CUGCCUUCCAGGCCAUGGCCGCUGUGGCUGGUGCCUGGGCCCCCACGUCCCGACCUGCAGCCUGCGGCGCCCACCCCCACGUGACCGCGGCGCGUACAUUUCCCCAUUCAGCUGAUGGUGAGUGCUGUGCUAUUUUAAGCCCACAUGGAAGUAUUUUUUUUUAUAAGGACCAUCUGCUACCGGCCCCAGCCCAGAUGAUACAGUUAGAACCUACCCACAGCAUCCUCUCCCGCCUUCAGACAGUUCCAGGAACAAGGGUUUUGCACAAACCUUCUUCUUCCUGAGCGAUGCUCUACCUGCUGGCUUCAGAAGGGGGACGGCGUUUUGGGAGGGGCACCUCGAAGCACCCCGACGCCCACAGAUGCAGGCGAUGCAGGCAACCAGGCCAACAGGGAGCCCUAGGCCAUGGGAAGUGGCUUGCCAUCAGGAUGGAGCUAGGCUGCUGGCUGGAGGUUACAGAACGUUUCCAUCCUGUUUUCCUGAGACUACAGAAUCCUGGCUGGAGGACCGUCAAGUCUAACCUUCCACCCAACGUGGAGACCACCUCUGUGUCCUCUCCUUUCACCUCGAGGAACUGGGCUGAAGAUGGCAACACCCUCAGGAGAGGUCAGUCUUUGCCUGAGUUGCAUCUUUACAUCUCAGGCUGAGCCUGGAGAAGGGACAGGCGACCUCAUGCCAGGGAGAGAGACAGGUCGGGGGUGAAGACAGGCUGGCACCCACGUGGGCAGGGGUCAGCAUGAGAAGAAUGGACACACAGUCAGACCCUCCUGCUGCUGACCCUCUGCAGCCUCAGCCCCCAUUGAAGGAGCACCAGCUUAGGAAGCAAUUCUUGACCCGACGAUCCUGGAACUCAGAUUGGAAAGAAAACUUCUUUGGGGAUAUUUGGUUUUGAAGAUGUCAGAAUGAAUGAGAGGCUGUGUGAUCUUGUGGGGUUUGGUCACCUCUAAGACUCAGGUCCGGGGCCUGCUCCUGAGGUGCUGACAGGCAGGCGGCAUCUGUGGAAGCUGGCCGUUACAUUUUUUUCCAGAGGGUGACGCUUGCCUAUCAGACACAAGCCAAAGACGCUGCUUUGCCCUCGUCUGUUGAAAGACCAUUUCUUUAUUAAUUUCUCACAACCAUGUGAAAUGCCAACAUUCAUCAUUGAAAUCCUGUCAACACAAAGCAUUCAUCAUUGAGAUCCUGUCAACUUACCAAUUCUGGGAAGCAGAGGUCAGAACCAGGUGGGUGGGGGCUGGCAUUGCUGGGUUCCAGCCAUUCAACCAGGAGGCGAAGAAGAAAUGAGAGAGACAUGUGGGACUCUGCUCCUUUCCAGAAAACCAGGGGUGGUGACAAUGACCUGCCAACAGGAGGGCCCCAAAGACUUAGCUGGAGUCAGGCUGGGUGCCAUUUUGGAAAACUACAAGGGGCUGGAGGGGGUGUUUGGGAAAGAGUUAAGGAUGGGGAGACGUGGAGUAGGGAGGCAAAGCUUUGAGGAGAGGCCUGUGGCCUCUGGCAUGGUCUCACAGAUGCUGCGGGCACAGACAGAAGAGAAGGAGACACUGGGUAUCUAGAGCUAGAUUUUCUGAUGACUGGGUCUUCACUAUCUAAUCUUCCCAGGCAAAGCGACAAUCUUGCAGAUUGC
rnacentral:lncRNA from 1 species